rnacentral:rRNA from 1 species
AAGCGGGUGAAAAGCCCGCUCGCCGGAAGACCAAGGGUUCCUGUCCAACGUUAAUCGGGGCAGGGUGAGUCGACCCCUAAGGCGAGGCCGAAAGGCGUAGUCGAUGGGAAACGGGUUAAUAUUCCCGUACUUGGUGUUACUGCGAAGGGGGGACGGAGAAGGCUAUGUUGGCCGGGCGACGGUUGUCCCGGUUUAAGCGUGUAGGUGUGUGUUCCAGGUAAAUCCGGUUCACUUUAACACUGAGGCGUGACGACGAGGCACUACGGUGCUGAAGCAACAAAUGCCCUGCUUCCAGGAAAAGCCUCUAAGCAUCAGGUAACAUCAAAUCGUACCCCAAACCGACACAGGUGGUCAGGUAGAGAAUACCAAGGCGCUUGAGAGAACUCGGGUGAAGGAACUAGGCAAAAUGGUGCCGUAACU